UCUUCUGCUGUACUCUGAUUUGCUAGAAUAAUAUACAGAGUGUUCCUCUAGCUGUGCAUCCCCAUCUCUCGUCUCCCUCCCUUCUUCAUGCUCUUCCUGCUACUAAUUCUAGAAGCCUCUAGCGAGUGCUAACAUUCAGUUUAACCCGGCCUCCACUCCUCUCCUCUGGCCCGUGGCCUGGGUCAGUGUCCAUCCCUCCCUGUCCCUGCCCACCACUUCGUCUGCUCUCCAUCCCUCAUCCGUCCCCAUGCCGCGCCCGCCGCCGCCUACUUCUUCUCCACUUUUUUGACUGUUUUUCCUGCCAUCCUAGCUAUGGGCUCCGCCGAGGCGGAUGGAAGCGCAUUGCCGGACGCGGAGCAGCAGUAGCAGCGGCGGCCAAGCAAGCGGGGGAUCUGGAUCCGAGGUUCUACCAUCGGGCUCCUCACGGCGGCGGCGGCGGAGAAGGAGGCGGAGCGCAGCAAGACGCAGAUGAGCAGCGGCGGCAACACCACCGGCUGCUGCAGCUCCACCAACAAGUGCAGCAGGACCAAGACCCACCACCGGCCCCCCUCUUCCAGCUCCAGCACCUGCAGGCCGCGGCGGCGGCGGCCGUGAGGCAGCGGGGCGGCUUGUUGUCCGCCGGGUAUGCCCUUCUCGCCCCCAUGGGCGACGCUAGCCAGUCCCACUCCCACUCCCACUCCCAACACCACGGCUUCCAGCCGCAGCUCCUAUCCUUCGGGGGAGCCGGCCAGCACCACGCGCACCAGUUCACGGCGCAGGCGGCGUCCCACUUGCGGCCACGAGGACGGGGAGCGGUGGGCGCGGGCGGCGAGGCCGUGGCCACGACGUCCGCGUCGCGCUCGCGCGUGAGGGGCGGCGGCGGGGAGGCCGUGGCGGUGCAGGGAGGCCACAUUGCGCGCUCCACGGGGCGCAAGGACAGCCACAGCAAGGUGUGCACGGCGCGCGGGACGCGGGACCGGCGCGUGCGGCUGGCGGCGCACACCGCCAUCCAGUUCUACGACGUGCAGGACCGGCUGGGCUACGACCGCCCCAGCAAGGCCGUCGACUGGCUCAUCAAGAACGCCAAGGACGCCAUCGACAGGCUCGAGACGACGCUGCCCGCGGCCAAUGCCGCGCCGCCGUCCUCCUCCUGGACGCACCCAGACUCCGCCGAGAACUCCGACGACCAGGCGCAGGCCAUCACCGUCGCGCACACGGCCUUCGACUUCCCCGGCGCCGACGGUUUCCUAGUUCCGGCGUCGCUCGACUCGGACACGAUCAAGUCGUUCUUUCCCGUGGCUGGCACGGGAGGCGGCGAGGCCGAGGCGUCUUCGUCCGCGACGGCGGCGCAGUCGUCGGCCAUGGGGUACCAAAGCUACACGCCUGACCUGCUGUCCCGCACCGGCGGACACAGCCAGGAGCUGCGGCUGUCGCUGCAGUCUCUCCCAGACCCCAUGUUCCACCACCGGUCGCACGGCCACGGCCACGGCGGCGAUGGCUCCGCGCAGCAGGCGCUCUUCCCCGGCGCCGCCAGCUACUCGUUCGGCGGCGGCGCUGCGUGGGCCGAGCACGCGCAGAGCCAGCGCGUGGCGCCGUGGAACGCGCCCGACCCAGGCGGCGGGAGCACUGGCGGCUACCUGCUCAACGUGUCGCAGUCGCAGCAGGCGGCGCUUGGUGGCCAGAGCCAGUUCUUCUUCCAGAGGGGACCCCUUCAGUCCAGUAACCAGCCCUCCGACUCCGAGCGAGGAUGGCCGGAGACCGUCGAAGCCGACAACCCGAUGCAGCAUGGUGGGCCGACCAUCGGGUUCGCGCCCGGUACCAGCUUCUCCGGGAUCCGCAUCCCCACCAGGAUACAGGGCGGCGAGGAGCACAACGGCGGCAGCGGCAAUGGCGACAAGCCGCCGCCGCCUCCGUCUGUUUCCUCGGCUUCUCGCCAGUGACAGCAGCAGUGGAGCACAGAUUACUCCAUCCAACCAGCAUGACCAUUGAUCAGUGCAGCGUGUAUCACUAAAAUCUCACACGCCAGCUCCUCAACGUGCACCCUUGUUGUGAUGUGAGAAUCUCUUUCGUGAUUCUUCUUCGUUGUAGCACUGUAUUUUCCCACCGCAGGAUUGCCGUUUCUUGUACUACUGAGUUUCUGGUGCAGUUCUGUUGUCCCCAUUCCAGGAGAGAAGAGAAACGACAAAGGUUGCAUAUGUUCAUUGCAUGGCCUUAUGCUGGACACUGCAGGUGCAGGAGGACGCAGCGACAGCAGCAGCAGCUUUCCUGUGCCAUCUAUGAUCUCCAUCCGUCCAUGACUGGGCAGCGGGCACUGCGAGAACGACACAAGAAAAAGGUUUUGUGUCUCCUUGCUGUCAUCAGUACGUACAGGAUCUGGCGCCUCUGCUGCGUGUCAUUAGCGCACUUUAAGGAACGGAAAAGCUAAUGUACGCGCCUGCGUUUCUUUGGCUGUUUUUCUCGCCUUGUGCAUCGUCCGAUUGUUCAGAUUCACUGUUUGAUUUUGGGAUUCUCGCGCCUCUUUAGUGUCUCGUUUCCAUCGCUCUGCUGCUCCGCCUCUUCACUUUCUCGCGCUGUCGUCGUCUCCCAGUGUGGCUGCCACGCUCGCCCCAGCCUCCUGCCGCGCGCCGCGCUGAGCCUCCUGCCGCGCGAGCCUCCAGUGCGGCUGCCGCGUGCGCCCUCCAGUGUUGUUGCCGCGCACGCCAUGAGUUGUCGUGGGCGAGGUGGAUCCGACGAGAUCCAUGGCGGAGGCCGAGGAGGCCCCGACUAGAUCUAUGGCGGGGGACGAGGUAGCUCCGACGAGGUACAUAGCGCGGGUGGAGGCAGCUGCGAUUCCGACGAGGUCCACGUCGGAGGGCGAGGAGGCCGCGACUGGAUCUAUGGCGGGGGGCGAGUUGGCUGCAGCAGGAUCCAUGUUGGAGGAGGGGAAGGUCCGACGGGAUCCAUGGCCGGGGGUGGUGGAGCUGGCUGCGACGGUAUAUACGGCAGAGGGUGAGGGUGUCCCGACGGGAUCCAUUUUCGCUGUCCGGCGGCAGCAACCUGGGGUGAAGCAGGCGGGUCUGGAGUUCCACUGCGCGAAGGUUGUGUCCCGGCAUCUGGUGGCACUGUCGAUCCGGGCAUCAUUUCCUCUCCUAUGGUUAAGUUGAUUGAAACUUUUGCUGUUUUUUGCAAGUCUCAGAGAGCUGCUUAUAGGGAGAAGGUGUUAAUUGAAGCAGAGAAACAAUUUCCGCAUGAUUUCACUUUUUUCAAGGAAAAGUUAUUAGCUGAUUUUGGCCAAAUAGUGGAUGUCGAAUGCAUUGAUAGUACUUGCCAAGUUCUGUAUGACAAGGUCAGGGGUUGUUGUUCAAUUUGCAAGUCAAGGUGUACUGAAGCUAUCGUCGAUUCUCUAAAAAUUUUGGCUGAAGCAAUGACUAUUAAGCAUCAGAAGUUUUUGAAUUCCAACAACCUUCUGGCGAAAGAUAUGGAUAUUAAGUCAGAUGAGAAAGCUACCAAAAUUGAUACUAAUGUGCAGCCAGUUGAUGUUAAGUCGAAUGAGAAAGGGGCUGGUGUGGGCAUUGUUGAGGCUUCUCAUGGAAAAGCUCAUGUGGUUAUUACAAAUCCCCUGAUAACAGUGCCCAUACAGUUGGAGACACCAAUUGUUAAUAGGCUGGAUGGAAAUAAUGGAACAUCUUUGAAUCCACCAGUGGAGUGUGCUCAUCCUCUCAACAAGCGAUUCCAUUACUCAAAAACUGAUAAGUUGGGUCUCUUUCCACGUACAAAGCUUUUCUCACCUGUGGGUCUUUUUGACCUUCAAAUUACAGAUGAUGAAAGUGAUCACAAUGGAAGGGGCAGAAAUACUGCAGCUGCUAUAUGUCCACACGAGCCAGCUGGUGUUCCAAUUGGGCUAGGCCAACUUGCUCCUCCUAUAGCCACCCAUGUUGUUUAUGGUGCAACAUCAGCAGCGGCAACAGGUUGUGUUAACAAUGAUGUUUAUAGUGGUGUUGCUUCUGUGAUGUUGUCUCAGAUUCCAAAGGCACAUGCUGCUGGUGCAUUUUUAGCAGGGAAUGAUAAUAUAUAUGAGCCUACACUAGCAUUGAAUUAUUCAAAGUUAAACUCAACUGAAAGACAUAGAAACUCCGGAGGAAUAAGUGGCAAAAAGGAAGAAGUUAUUGUCAUUGCUGAUGAUGUAGGGGCUGAUCAGGAGGUGCAAACUGCUGCUGUUAAUAUGGUUGGCGCUAAUUUACAUGGUAGUAGUAGAUCCAAAUCAGCAGCUGCAAUUGAUCAGAUAUACAAUGAUAUGAGCAUAUUCAACGUAGAGUCAGAAGCUGGGGGAUUCUUUUUGGAAAAUCAACUAGAAGUUGGAAAUGUAGUCAGGAAUGAUGUUGGUGAAAAUUGGUUACAAGUUCAAAAUGCUCACGCCCGUGUUCCAUGUUCUAAUGUGCUAUUGCGAUAUUAUAAUAUUCUUUGUGGCAUGGGGCGGAGCCAAUGGAAAGAUUUGGUCGCAGUUCAGUUUUCCAAAACCACCACUGUAAAUUGGGAAUCUUUUUGACUGUCAAUAGAACCCAAAGGUCACUGUGACAACUUUUUUAUUGCUGGAUUUUGCCGGAAACAUUUUGAAGAUAUUCAUCCUAGACUGUCAAAGAAACAUUUCUUUUAUCCAAAAGUGGGGCUGUAUUUUCCAGUGUGCCAUGCGAACCAUUGGUUUUUGUUCAUUGUUGAUUUGAAGAAUAAGCGUUUUGUUUUUAUGGAUUCAUAUUUUGAUGAGGAAGAUCCUUUUCAAUGCUUUGUUAGAGACAAGCUUAUUCGGAUGUUUAAAGUCCUAUGGUUAUUAUAUUCUGAUUCAAACAUAGAUGUAUCAUCAUUCAAAAUUUUAUAUCCCGCGGUACCAAAACAGGAAAAUACGCAUGACUGCGGUAUUUUCACACUUCAAUACAUGGAAUAUUGGGAUAUAUUUGUUGAUAUGAUGCUCAAGAUCCGCACUGAGGACAUCCCUCAAAUUCGAAUCACCUUGGCCAAGGAUCUCUAUUUUAGUGAGAAGAACACUGAAGACAAGUCUCUAGUUUGCAACAUGUUUCUUCAGGUUUUUUGUGAUUCAAUUUGUGUUGUUUUUUUGGGCGCUCUUAUUAUUUUGUUUUUCUAGUUUUUCCUUUUUUUCGUGGGUGGUGCGUGCAGUGCUGAUGGUGGUAUGGAGCUUUUUUGUUUUUUAUGCAUCAUUUUUUUUGGUCUGAUUUGCUUUUUUUAUACCAGAAUAUUGAUCCUCAGAUUGUCAACUAGCAUAUUUGAACCGUUGGGAAGUAGUUGUUCGUGUUUUCUAUGGAUGUUGGAGCAGCAAUGGCAGAGAUUUCUGAUUCAUCAUCGUCAAGUUUUGAUCCAUAGCUUCUUUUUCCAAUAAAAAAAAGACAUGUUAUAUCUCAUGUUCAUUCUAUGUUCAUUUUCCCCAGUGUAUGUAAUAAAAGUG
rnacentral:misc_RNA from 1 species